AGGAGCCGUAUGAGGUGAAAAUCUCAUGUACGGUUUUGGACUAGCGAUGGUACAAAGAUAGAUAUAAUGAAAAAGAUAGAUUUAUAAUCAUAA
rnacentral:ncRNA from 1 species